CCUACGGGUGGCAGCAGUGGGGAAUAUUGGGCAAUGGGCGCAAGCCUGACCCAGCAACGCCGCGUGAAGGAAGAAGGAUUUCGGGUUGUAAACUUCUUUUGUCAGGGAAGAGUAGAAGACGGUACCUGACGAAUAAGCCACGGCUAACUACGUGCCAGCAGCGGCGGUAAUACGUAGGUGGCAAGCGUUGUCCGGAUUUACUGGGUGUAAAGGGCGUGUAGCCGGGUUGACAAGUCAGAUGUGAAUUCCUGCGGCUUAACCGCAGAACUGCAUUUGAAACUGUUGAUCUUGAGUACUGGAGAGGCAGACGGAAGUCCUAGUGUAGCGGUGAAAUGCGUAGAUAUUAGGAGGAACACCAGUGGCGAAGGCGGUCUGCUGGACAGCAACUGACGGUGAGGCGCGAAAGCGUGGGGAGCAAACAGGAUUAGAUACCCGGGUAGUC
rnacentral:rRNA from 1 species